GGUUGUAGCUCAGUGGUAGAGCGCUUGCCUCACAUGCAUGAGAUCCUGGGUUCAAUCCCCAGCACAACCA
rnacentral:tRNA from 1 species